GAUGAACGCUGGCGGCAGGCCUAACACAUGCAAGUCGAGCGAUCGCAGCAAUGCGGGAGCGGCAGACGGGUGAGGAACACGUGGGAACAUACCCUUUGGUUCGGAAUAACUCAGGGAAACUUGAGCUAAUACCGGAUAAGUCGGCAACGAGAAAGAUUCAUCGCCGAAGGAUUGGCCCGCGUCCGAUUAGCUAGUUGGUGAGGUAAUGGCUCACCAAGGCGACGAUCGGUAGCUGGUCUGAGAGGAUGAUCAGCCACAUUGGGACUGAGACACGGCCCAAACUCCUACGGGAGGCCAG
rnacentral:rRNA from 1 species